UACCCCUCAUUUUCGUUCCACCCACACCACUUUCCCCCAAAUUCUCCCCAACCUGAAAAUCCCUUCAGCCCUAGCUCCGUUAGCCCGUCGGUCGGUAGAGGUAUAGUUUGGAUACGGAGGAGCUUGCAGCUUGAGGUGAAGCUGUUGGUGUUGAUUCAAGCUUUCACAUUUUCAAGCUUUCUUAAUUAUAACCCCCUCUUGUCAUCGGCUUGUGUCGCAAUUUCGGCGGCGACCGAAUAGAAGAGGGAGAGGAGAUGAGUCGGACAACAGCCAAAGUGUUUCUGUUGAGGUCGUUGUUGAUGAAGAGAUCUGUUUCGUGUAGCGCUGAAGUUUUUCUGUCUAGGCACCGCCGGAGAUGAGAAAUUUGAAGAAUAGAGAAAUGGAGUAUGUGCUUACGUCAUUUUCGUCGGAAUACAUAAAUAAAUAAAUUGUUUUAUGUCAAAACCGAGUUUAUAUCUUGCAUUUCAAUUUCAAUUUUAAUUUUAAUUUUAAUUUUAAUUUUAAUUUUAAUUUUAAUUUUAAUUUUAAUUUUAAUUUUAAUUUUAA